GUCCGUUCAUCCUAAUUAGGACGCAUGAAAUCCAAGCAUGGAACGGGGCUUGGGU
rnacentral:ncRNA from 1 species